GCAUAUCAAUAAGCGGAGGAAAAGAAACCAACAGGGAUUGCCCUAGUAACGGCGAGUGAAGCGGCAACAGCUCAAAUUUGAAAUCUGGCCCCGUUGGGGUCCGAGUUGUAAUUUGUAGAGGGCGCUUUGGCGUUGGCCCUGGCCUAAGUUCCUUGGAACAGGACGUCGCAGAGGGUGAGAACCCCGUACGUGGCCGGUGGUCUUCGCCGUGUAAAGCCCCUUCGACGAGUCGAGUUGUUUGGGAAUGCAGCUCUAAAUGGGAGGUAAAUUUCUUCUAAAGCUAAAUAUUGGCCAGAGACCGAUAGCGCACAAGUAGAGUGAUCGAAAGAUGAAAAGCACUUUGGAAAGAGAGUCAAAAAGCACGUGAAAUUGUUGAAAGGGAAGCGCUUGCAGCCAGACUUGCCUGUAGUUGCUCAUCCGGGCUUCCGCCCGGUGCACUCUUCUGCGGGCAGGCCAGCAUCAGUCCAGGCGGCCGGAUAAAGGCCUUGGGAAUGUGGCUCCCUUCGGGGAGUGUUAUAGCCCAGGGCGCAAUGCGGCCAGCUUGGACUGAGGUCCGCGCAUCUGCUAGGAUGCUGGCGUAAUGGCUGUAAGCGGCCCGUCUUGAAACACGGACCAAGGAGUCUAACAUCUAUGCGAGUGUUUGGGUGUCAAGCCCGGGCGCGUAAUGAAAGUGAACGGAGGUGGGAACCCCUCGGGGCGCACCAUCGACCGAUCCUGAUGUCUUCGGAUGGAUUUGAGUAAGAGCAUAGCUGUUGGGACCCGAAAGAUGGUGAACUAUGCCUGAAUAGGGUGAAGCCAGAGGAAACUCUGGUGGAGGCUCGCAGCGGUUCUGACGUGCAAAUCGAUCGUCAAAUUUGGGCAUAGGGGCGAAAGACUAAUCGAACUAUCUAGUAGCUGGUUCUGC
rnacentral:rRNA from 1 species